rnacentral:RNase_P_RNA from 1 species
AGUAAGUCAGAUAAUCGCUGGUGCUCAUUUGAGGCACGAGAGGAAAGUCCGGGCUCCGCAGAGCAAGGUGCCAGCUAACGGCUGGUGGAGGUAACUCUAAGGAAAGUGCAACAGAAAUAAACCGCCAAUUUUAUUGGCAAGGAUGGAAAGGCAGGGUAAGAGCCUACCAGUAGCAUGGAGACAUGCUAGCUAUGUAAACCCCACCUGGAGCAACGUUUCGAAGGAUUAAGGCUGCUCGUCGACCUUUGAUUGUACGGCUUGAGGCAUAUAGCGAUAUAUGUCCUAGAUAAAUGAUUAUCUAAUACAGAACCCGGCUUACAGAUUUGCUUUU